AGAGCGCUGUCUUCGCGUGCGUGCCUCCGCGGCACCGUGCGCGCGCUGGAUUUCGAUGAGGCGCACCCACGCCACCCGGUGGCGGAAAGGGUAGGCCAGGUGCGUGAGGGAGCGACCAAGGAUCGGCACCCACAUGCGCGUGUUGCGUCUUGGCAAGCUUUGUCGUCUGGGCUGCUACUGGACAAGGCGGUGUGUGCCUCAACUCUCCAGUGCUCAUAAAUGGCGGGCACUGCUGCUAGCUGACUGACUGACCACAUGCUUGCUUUGCCCUCCGUGGCAAGGGGCGUAGUGGGCAUGGCACUUCCUUCCUGUGCAUGUGUGGUUCGGGUAAAAAUAUACAGUUGUGGAGUGGAACGUGAUCCGGUUUUAUUUAUUUAUUUAUUAUAGUGGCCGU
rnacentral:lncRNA from 1 species